CAGGAUAUAGCUAAGCUAAUAAAGCAUCUCUCUUACACUGAGAAGACAUCUGUGUAAAUCAGAUUGUCCUGA
rnacentral:tRNA from 1 species